UAUACUUUGGUGUAAGGGCAUAUUAAUUUUUGAUGUUUUUGGUGACAGGUCAAUUCUGUCGAGUAUAA
rnacentral:tRNA from 1 species